ACAGUCACACAUUAGAUACCCCCGUAGUCCUGGCCGUAAACGAUGUGGACUUGGUGUUGGAAUGGCUCCGAGCUGCUCCAGUGCCGAAGGGAAGCUGUUAAGUCCACCGCCUGGGAAGUACGGUCGCAAGACUGAAACUUAAAGGAAUUGGCGGGGAGCACCACAACGCGUGGAGCCUGCGGUUUAAUUGGAUACAACGCCGGACAUCUCACCAGGGGCGACAGCGGAAUGAUGGCCAGGUUGAUGACCUUGCUUGACAAGCUG
rnacentral:rRNA from 1 species